rnacentral:rRNA from 1 species
UGGGGAAUUUUGGGCAAUGGGUGAGAGCCUGAUCCAGCCAUGCCGCGUGCAGGAAGAAGGCGUUAUGCGUUGUAAACUGCUUUUUGCCAGGGGAUAAAAAGACCGUGCGCGGUUAAUUGAAGGUACCUGGUGAAUAAGCCACGGCUAACUACGUGCCAGCAGCCGCGGUAAUACGUAGGUGGCAAGCGUUGUCCGGAUUUAUUGGGUUUAAAGGGUGCGUAGGUGGCCCUGUAAGUCAGUGGUGAAAUAUCUCAGCUUAACUGAGAGGGUGCCAUUGAUACUGCAGGGCUUGAGUACAGAUGAGGUAGGCGGAAUUGACGGUGUAGCGGUGAAAUGCAUAGAUAUCGUCAAGAACACCGAUAGCGAAGGCAGCUUACCAAGCUGUAACUGACACUGAGGCACGAAAGUGUGGGGAUCAAACAGGAUUAGAUACCCAAGUAGUCCCUGAGCGGGCUGGCAAGGCGCAU